rnacentral:rRNA from 1 species
UGGGCCUCGGCAUUGCCUCAGUAGCGGCGAGUGAAGCGGCAAGAGCUCAGAUUUGAAAUCGUGCUUUGCGGCACGAGUUGUAGAUUGCAGGUUGGAGUCUGUGUGGAAGGCGGUGUCCAAGUCCCUUGGAACAGGGCGCCCAGGAGGGUGAGAGCCCCGUGGGAUGCCGGCGGAAGCAGUGAGGCCCUUCUGACGAGUCGAGUUGUUUGGGAAU